AUUGAACGCUGGCGGCAGGCUUAACACAUGCAAGUCGAACGAGCGGCGGACGGGUGAGUAAUGUCUGGGAAACUGCCUGAUGGAGGGGGAUAAAUACUGGAAACGGUAGCUAAUACCGCAUACCAUCGGAUGUGCCCAGAUUGGAUUAGCUAGUCGGUGUGGUAAUGGCUAACCUAGUCGACGAUCCCUAGCUGGUCUGCGAGGAUGACCAGCCACACUGGAACUGAGACACGGUCCAGACUCCUACGGGAGGCAGCAGUGGGGAAUAUUGCACAAUGGGCGCAAGCCUGAUGCAGCCAUGCCGCGUGUAUGAAGAAGGCCUUCGGGUUGUAAAGUACUUUCAGCGGGGAGGCGUUACCCGCAGAAGAAGCACCGGCUAACUCCGUGCCAGCAGCCGCGGUAAUUC
rnacentral:rRNA from 1 species